rnacentral:rRNA from 1 species
UACAGGAGGGGGCAAGCGUUGUUCGGAAUUACUGGGCGUAAAGGGCGCGUAGGCGGCCUUCUAAGUCGAACGUGAAAUCCCCGGGCUCAACCCGGGAACUGCGUCCGAUACUGGAAGGCUUGAAUCCGGGAGAGGGAUGCGGAAUUCCAGGUGUAGCGGUGAAAUGCGUAGAUAUCUGGAGGAACACCGGUGGCGAAGGCGGCAUCCUGGACCGGCAUUGACGCUGACGGCGCGAAAGCCAGGGGAGCAA